rnacentral:rRNA from 1 species
AUGUAUGUACAUGCAUGCCCGGUCCGGUCGGUCACGGAGACGAAGCCAGGACCGGGACAGCGAGCGGCUCGAUGGUCGUCAUCAUCUCUGGCUUGGCUUUCUCUACCUCCCCACCACACCACCCCCCACGAAACCAACACCAUCCGCGGCGACCCCUUCUUCCCUUCCCUGAGACACUUCUCCCCAAAGCGAACCCAGCUGAAAAGAAGCGAGACGCGCCGCGCCGCACCGCGUUGCCUUUGUAUAUCGUGGCUCUAUUUAGCUCAAGAGGAGAGGAGAGGAGAGGCGCGCGGGGAGGGGAAGGAGAUCAAAUCAGAUCAAACCGUAGGAAACCAUCGAUUGAUCGAGCAGCGGCGGCGACGCGGAAGCAGGAGGGGAGGGGGGAUGGCGGUGGCGUAUCGCGCGGAGGAGGAGUACGACUACCUGUUCAAGGUAGUGCUGAUCGGGGACAGCGGCGUGGGCAAGUCCAACCUGCUGUCGCGCUUCGCCAGGGACGAGUUCAGCCUCGACACCAGGUCCACCAUCGGCGUCGAGUUCGCCACCAAGACCGUCCGCGUCGACGGCAAGCUCGUCAAGGCGCAGAUCUGGGACACCGCCGGCCAAGAAAGGUACCGGGCCAUCACCAGCGCGUACUACCGGGGCGCCGUGGGCGCGCUCGUGGUGUACGACGUGACGCGCCACAUCACGUUCGAGAACGCGGAGCGGUGGCUGACGGAGCUCCGCGACCACACGGACGCCAACAUCGUGGUGAUGCUGGUCGGGAACAAGGCGGACCUGCGCCACCUGAGGGCCGUCUCGCCCGAGGAGGCCAGGGCCUUCGCGGAGCGCCACCGCACCUUCUCCAUGGAGACCUCCGCGCUGGAGGCCACCAACGUGGAGGACGCCUUCACCGAGGUGCUCGGCGAGAUCUACCGCGUCGUCAGCAAGAAGGCCCUCGACAUCGGCGACGACCCCGCCGCGCCGCCUAGGGGCAAGACCAUCGACGUUGGCGGCAAGGACGACGUCACCCCGGUGAACACGGGCGGCUGCUGCUCGGCCUAG